rnacentral:lncRNA from 1 species
AUGGAUUCUGAUGUUGCUUGGCCACAAACUUUUUGGCUUUCAUAUAUGAAAGUACACCAACCUCAGCUCUCAUAUAGAUUUCAACCGCUGACCUUUCGGUUAGCAGUCCUGCCGGGUGCGCAUUCAGAAGUAGACCUACAAGCCACUCUAAACACCUUCGCAGAAGCAUACAAGAAGCUCGGCCUCUCACUGAACAUCGAGAAAACCAAUGUGCUCUUCCAACAGGCACCAGCUAAUCCCUCUGCAAUGCCAGGAAUACAGCUUAAUGGUGUCACAUUAGAAAAUGUGGACCAUUUCCGCUACCUUGGCAGCCACCUCUCCACAAAAGUCAACAUCGACACUGAAAUACAACACCGCCUGAGCUCUGCGAGUGCAGCAUUUUUCUGUAUGAAGCAGAGAGUGUUUGAUGAUCGGGACAUCCGCAGAGAGACCAAGAUGCUUGUUUACAAAGCCGUUGUCCUCCCAACCCUGCUCUACGCCUGCGAAACGUGGACGGUCUACAGACGUCACACUCAACUCCUGGAGCGUUUCCAUCAGCGUUGCCUCAGAAAAAUCCUGCAAAUCUCUUGGGAAGACAGGCGGACAAAUGUCAGCGUGCUGGAAGAAGCAAAGACCACCAGCAUUGAAACGAUGCUCCUACGCCAUCAACUCCGCUGGACUCCCACGUUGUCCGAAUACCCGAUCACCGUCUCCCAAAGCAGUUACUCUACUCCCAACUCAAGAAUGGGAAAUGGAAUGUUGGUGGGCAGGAAAAGAGAUUUAAAGAUGGGCUCAAAGCCAACCUUAAAACUGUGGCAUAGACACUGAGAAUGGGAAGCCCUGGCCCUUGAGCGCUCUAAUUGGAGGUCAGCUGUGACCAGCAGUGCUGCGGAAUUCGAAGAGGCACGAACGGAGGACUUAAGGGAGAAACGUGCCAAGAGGAAGGAGCGUCAAGCUAACCCUGACCGGGACCGCCUUCCACCUGGAAACCGAUGUCCUCACUGCGGGAGAAUAUGCGGGUCAAGAAGGUCUCUUCAGCCACCUAAGAACCCACCCCCAAGACACCAAGGAUGGAAGACAAUCAUCCUCGAGCUACGAGGGAUCGCCUAAGUAAGUAAGUAUGGAAUGAUGGAAAUGGACAUCUGGUGCAUCUGGAACUCACAGGUUGAAAGGGGCUGAUCUACAGCUACCCAACCUUUGGUUCUCCAGACUUUUGGGACAUUUGGAUUCCCAGAAGCCGUAUCAGUCAGAUCUUUUGG